rnacentral:rRNA from 1 species
CCUACGGGAGGCAGCAGUGAGGAAUAUUGGUCAAUGGCCGAGAGUCUGAACCAGCCAAGUCGCGUGAAGGAUGAAUGCCCUAUGGAUUGUAAACUUCUUUUAUCUGGGAAUAAAAUCUUCCACGUGUGGGUUUUUGUAUGUACCAUAUGAAUAAGGAUCGGCUAACUCCGUGCCAGCAGCCGCGGUAAUACGGAGGAUCCGAGCGUUAUCCGGAUUUAUUGGGUUUAAAGGGAGCGUAGGCGGAUUGUUAAGUCAGUUGUGAAAGUUUGCGGCUCAACCGUAAAAUAGCAGUUGAAACUGGUAGUGUUGAGUGCAGUAGAGGUAGGCGGAAUGCGUGGUGUAGCGGUGAAAUGCUUAGAUAUCACGAAGAACUCCGAUUGCGAAGGCAGCUCACUGGACUGCAACUGACGCUGAGGCUCGAAAGUGUGGGUAUCAAACAGGAUUAGAUACCCUUGUAGUC